CUGGAACUGAGACACGGUCCAGACUCCUACGGGAGGCAGCAGUGGGGAAUAUUGCACAAUGGGCGCAAGCCUGAUGCAGCCAUGCCGCGUGUAUGAAGAAGGCCUUCGGGUUGUAAAGUACUUUCAGCGGGGAGGAAGGGAGUAAAGUUAAUACCUUUGCUCAUUGACGUUACCCGCAGAAGAAGCACCGGCUAACUCCGUGCCAGCAGCCGCGGUAAUACGGAGGGUGCAAGCGUUAAUCGGAAUUACUGGGCGUAAAGCGCACGCAGGCGGUUUGUUAAGUCAGAUGUGAAAUCCCCGGGCUCAACCUGGGAACUGCAUCUGAUACUGGCAAGCUUGAGUCUCGUAGAGGGGGGUAGAAUUCCAGGUGUAGCGGUGAAAUGCGUAGAGAUCUGGAGGAAUACCGGUGGCGAAGGCGGCCCCCUGGACGAAGACUGACGCUCAGGUGCGAAAGCGUGGGGAGCAAACAGGAUUAGAUAC
rnacentral:rRNA from 1 species